rnacentral:rRNA from 1 species
UACGUAGGGGGCAAGCGUUGUCCGGAAUCAUUGGGCGUAAAGCGCGUGUAGGCGGCCCUGUAAGUCCGUUCUGAAAGCCCGGGGCUCAACCCCGGGAGGCGGAUGGAUACUGCAUGGCUCGAGUACGGAAGAGGCGAGUGGAAUUCCCGGUGUAGCGGUGAAAUGCGCAGAUAUCGGGAGGAACACCAAUGGCGAAGGAAGCUCGCUGGGACGUUACUGACGCUGAGACGCGAAAGCGUGGGGAGCAAACAGG